UACGUAGGGGGCAAGCGUUGUCCGGAAUCAUUGGGCGUAAAGAGCGCGUAGGCGGUCCGGUAAGUCCGCUCUGAAAGUCCGGGGCUCAACCCCGGGAGGCGGGCGGAUACUGUCGGGCUAGAGUCCGGAAGAGGCGAGUGGAAUUCCUGGUGUAGCGGUGAAAUGCGCAGAUAUCAGGAGGAACACCGAUGGCGAAGGCAGCUCGCUGGGACGGUACUGACGCUGAGGCGCGAAAGCGUGGGGAGCAAACAGG
rnacentral:rRNA from 1 species